UUCGUAGGUGGCCAACUAAGCCAGACGUGAAAUCCCUCAGCUUAACUGGGGAACUGCGUCUGGGACUGGAUGGCUUGAGCGCAGGAGAGGAACGCGGAAUUCCAGGUGUAGCGGUGAAAUGCGUAGAUAUCUGGAGGAAUACCGGUGGCGAAGGCGGCGUUCUGGACUGCAACUGACACUGAGGAACGAAAGCCAGGGAAGGCAAACCG
rnacentral:rRNA from 1 species